rnacentral:rRNA from 1 species
GGUUUUUUGUUAUAAUAAAAAAUCAGGCCUGCUCAAUGCUUUAGUAAAUAGCCGCGGUAUUAUGACCGUGCAAAGGUAGCAUAAUCAUUAGUCUUUUAAUUGAGGACUGGUAUGAAAGGUUAAACUAGGUAAUUUUGUCUUAUAGUGAUAUUUUGAAAUUUACUUUUUAGUAAAAAGGCUAAAAUUUUUCUUAGGGACAAGAAGACCCUAUUAAGCUUUACAAAGAAUUUUCAUUUUUCUUAAAAUGAGAAUAAUUUGUUGAACUGGGGCAGUGAAUAAAUUAUAAUUUUAUUUUGAAAUUAUGAAAGCUAUUCUUGGAAAAACGAAGAUUUUUCAAACAGGAAUAAGUUACUAUAGGGAUAACAGCGUAAUUCCUUUUAAGAGUUCUUAUCAUCGAAGGAGUUUGCGACCUCGAUGUUGGAUUAAAAUGUCUAAGUCACGCAAUAGUGACUUAAGAAAGUCUGUUCGACUUUAAAAAUUUUCCA